CUUGCACGUUUCCAAAAGAUUCAGUCAGAGAAUCUUUGCCUUGGACGGAUACUCCAUAGGAGAAAACAGGAGAAAGUUGACACUUAACUCCCACAGAGUACCAGCAUAAAGACAAUGGCUUUAAGAGUCUGACUCAGAGUUUCAACAUGAAAGGUUUGCUUUAUAGAGGAAACGCCAAUCCCAGUCCAUCCAGAUAGACCUGGAACCUGAUGAAAGUCGACACCUUUAUUCUGAAAUUUGCAUCACAUCGCUGGCUCCAGUUUAGAAACAUGAUCGUUUCACAGGUAGUAUGCAUUUCAGCGAAUGCUGCCUCUAAACUACCCGUCAGGAAAAAUAAAAUCUAUAAGGUAAUCGUAGUCUAGGAGCCAUCAAUCCCCAAAUGCUUCUCUUAGAAAACGAAUGCCAACAAUUUAGCUAAACAUCUUCCUUGGAAGUGAGCCAUUUCCCAUGUCUCUCUGUUCUCCAAACCGCGAUGAAAUUUCAACCUGCCCAACACGAUUACUGGUCCACCUAGAAAUGCCGUGGAGCGAUUUAAGAGCCUCGGAAAUUUCCUUUAAGGUCAGGAGAGAAGCUGGUAACAGAUGGGGCGAAGGAGGAAAAGUUCUUUUUGCGGCACCCUCACGCCUUCCCAGCCCUUUCGCGGUUUACUCGCUCCCCGGAAAGCAGGGCAUUCAAGCAGCCCUGAGGAGAGGUCCACAUGGUGAGCCACUGAGGGCCUUGCCAAGAGCCAGCACCAACGGUCCAGGUUUGGAGUGUACCACCUUGGAAGUGAAUCUUCCAGUCCAGUCAAGCCUUCAGAUGACUUCAGAACCGUCCAUGUAAGCCACUCUUGGAUUCCUGACCCACAGAAACUGUUGGAGGCAUUAUCAACAGUUUCUAACAUCACAGACAGACAAACAUGUGCCUCCUGAUUGAAAAAACAGAACAUCACCUGUAGUCUUGCCAGUGAGAUCAAACUGAAGUCCAAUUAACCUCUGGAUCCAGCUGCCAAUUUGCAGGAAAUAGAGGAGAGAAGCAUCUGUUGAACUGCACCAUGAGUAUACACUCAGCAAAGGCCAAACUGUGGAAAAUGAUACAGGUCAAACAGCCUGGAUUCUUUAACAGACGGAGUCUCACUCUGUCACCCAGCCUGAAGUGCAAUGG
rnacentral:lncRNA from 1 species